CAGCAGCCGCGGUAAUACGUAGGGUGCAAGCGUUAAUCGGAAUUACUGGGCGUAAAGCGUGCGCAGGCGGUUCGGAAAGAAAGAUGUGAAAUCCCAGAGCUUAACUUUGGAACUGCAUUUUUAACUACCGGGCUAGAGUGUGUCAGAGGGGGGUGGAAUUCCACGUGUAGCAGUGAAAUGCGUAGAUAUGUGGAGGAACACCGAUGGCGAAGGCAGCCCCCUGGGAUAACACUGACGCUCAUGCACGAAAGCGUGGGGAGCAAACAGGAUUAGAUACCCGGGUAGUCCCUGUCUCUUAUAU
rnacentral:rRNA from 1 species